GUAAGAAAAAUUAUAGAUGGAGAGAAGGAAGAACUUAUCAGUUGAGGCGUGAUUUCACUGUCCUUAAGAAUAGAUCGCGCCCCUCGGAGAUUGAAUCUCGGUGUAGGGGCGGGAGCCCUACUGCGACGUUUUAUUCAAAACAAUUCAAAAAAUAAAAUGGCAAAAAGAAACCUGACUCAAGCCCACACCCGCGGGGGGGGUGGGGGGUCCCCCCUGCGCGUGAUAAUUGAGCGCGACGCGCCCGGUUAAACGUUUUCGGAUCGGAUUCGCCAAUUUUGGCUUGGACCUCCAUUGGGCUCAUGCGCGCGUGGGCUACCUACUUUCUUUGCUUCACCAAGUUAGAAAGGCUGAAUACUACAUAAAGACCUUUUAAGUUUUAUCUCUUUCCAAUGUGGGACUAAAGGAAGUACACUAAACAAAAAGGCAAAAAGCAAAGAAGGGCAGAAUUGGAAUUUUAAAAUAUUCCAACAAUCCCCCACAUAUUUUAAAAUUCAAUAAUAAGUUAA
rnacentral:lncRNA from 1 species